rnacentral:rRNA from 1 species
AAUGAACGUUGGCGGCGUGGAUUAGGCAUGCAAGUCGAGCGAGAACCGUAGCAAUACGGGGAAAGCGGCGCAAGGGACAGUAAUGUGUAGGUACCUACCCCUGGGUUCGGGAUAGCCGCGGGAAACUGCGGGUAAUACCGAAUAACGUCUUCGGACCAAAGGUGUGAUUCCACCUGGGUAGGGGCCAGCAUCCUAAUAGCUCGUUGGUGGGGUAACGGCUCACCAAGGCCAUGAUGGGUAGCAGGUGUGAGGGCACGACCUGCGUCACUGGGACUGAGACACUGCCCAGACCCCUACGGGUGGCUGCAGUCGAGAAUCUUCGGCAAUGGGCGCAAGCCUGACCGAGCGACGCCGCGUGCGGGAUGAAGGCCUUCGGGUUGUAAACCGCUGUCAGUGGGGAGGAAGGCUCCGUGAAGAACGGGGUUUGACCUAUCCGCAGAGGAAGUGUGGGCUAAGUUCGUGCCAGCAGCCGCCGUAACAC